UUCGACCGCGUAAACCUCGAUCGAAAAUUAACCUUAUGAGCAUAUAUUGGGGGCUGUCCCUGACGAUGGUGUGCAAGCUCAACUCGUAUUGAGAAGCCUAAAGUUGUUACCAUGGCCACCCACCUUAGCGAACACAGGUUAAUAUUUCAGAGUAGCUGUCGGGCCUUUU
rnacentral:other from 1 species